rnacentral:rRNA from 1 species
GAUGAACGCUGGCGGCGUGCUUAACACAUGCAAGUCGAACGGAAAGGCUUUGUUCUUGCGGCGUGCUCGAGUGGCGAACGGGUGUGAAACACGUGUGUAUAACGUCCUUGAUAUUGGGGUAACACUAGGAAACUCGGGCUCUAAUAGCGCAGGAGAUCCUGCUGCACGGUGGGGGUUGGUAAGUUGCGGCGGUUGGGGACGGACAGGCGGAUCUUCAGCUUGUUGGUGGGGUAGUGGCUUAACAAGGCUUCGACGAGUCGCCGGCCUGAGAGGGUGACCGGCCACAUAGGGACAGGGGAGGGACCCAGACUGCUACGGGGGGCAGCAGUGGGAAAUAGUGCACGAUGGGCGGAAGCCGGAUGCAGCAACGCCGCGUGCGGAAGGACGGCCGUCGGGGUGGAAACCGCGUUCGCCUGGGACGAAGCGAGAGUGACGGUAAUGUAUAAGGAAGAACCGGCUAACUACGUG